UGGGGAAUCUUGGACAAUGGGCGCAAGCCUGAUCCAGCCAUGCCGCGUGAGUGAAGAAGGCCUUAGGGUUGUAAAGCUCUUUUGGCAGGGACGAUAAUGACGGUACCUGCAGAAUAAGCCCCGGCAAACUUCGUGCCAGCAGCCGCGGUAAUACGAAGGGGGCUAGCGUUGUUCGGAUUUACUGGGCGUAAAGCGCACGUAGGCGGAUUGUUAAGUCAGGGGUGAAAUCCCGGAGCUCAACUCCGGAACUGCCUUUGAUACUGGCAAUCUUGAGGCUGGAAGAGGUUGGUGGAAUUCCCAGUGUAGAGGUGAAAUUCGUAGAUAUUGGGAAGAACACCAGUGGCGAAGGCGGCCAACUGGUCCAGAUCUGACGCUGAGGUGCGAAAGCGUGGGGAGCAAACAGG
rnacentral:rRNA from 1 species